AGCACUGAGCUGUUCUGUGGUGCUGCAGCCCCUGGGAGUGUUCCUGCUCACAUCCCAGGUACCCAGACCAGGGAGGAACAGGGAGUGAAAGGUGCUUGGCUUGGAGGGAAUCUUUCAAUCCCUGCCUUCAGGUGAAGACACAGCCCCGGUGGCUCAGAACAGUUGUGGCCUUUUGGCAUAACUGGGCUCCCCUGGGAAAAAAUGAACUUCUCCUUCCAGGAAAAGAGUGGUUUUAGCUGGAGUGAGAGCACGGUGGGGAGGGGAGCAGCAGUGCAGUUCCUUGGGAAAAUCUGAAUUAAUCUUGUGUGGAGCGUUGUGAGGAAGGGAUAACAGUGGGUUUGUUUCCCAAAGACAAUGUCCGAAGAGCACACAUCUGA